GACGAACCGUGCGAACGUUGUUCGGAUUCACUGGGCUUAAAGGGCGCGUAGGCGGGCGGUCAAGUCAGGGGUGAAAUCUUUCGGCUCAACCGGAAAAGUGCCUUUGAUACUGGCCGUCUCGAGGGUGGUAGGGGCAUGCGGAACUUCCGGUGGAGCGGUGAAAUGCGUUGAGAUCAGAAGGAACGCCGGUGGCGAAAGCGGCGGACUGGAUCUCUUCUGACGCUGAGGCGCGAAAGCUAGGGGAGCAAACGGG
rnacentral:rRNA from 1 species